rnacentral:misc_RNA from 1 species
UUGAAUUGUAAAAAUGGGGAGUUGCUUUCGAGCACUCCUCUACCUUUCUUUAUUCCUAAACACCUGUGAAUCGUUGCUGAGUUCGCUCAGUGGCACCAUUUUUACACAAACACUUAAUAGUUUUGAACGUAUAAAACAAAAAACAAAAAUA